UACGGAGGGGGCGAGCGUUAUUCGGAAUUACUGGGCGUAAAGCGCGCGUAGGCGGUGAUCUUUGUCAGAGGUGAAAGCCCUGGGCUCAACCUAGGAAGUGCACUCGAAACUCCCGAACUGGAGUCCCGGAGAGGAAGGUGGAAUUCUCGGUGUAGAGGUGAAAUUCGUAGAUAUCGAGAGGAACAUCGGUGGCGAAGGCGGCCUUCUGGACGGUGACUGACGCUGAGACGCGAAAGCGUGGGGAGCAAACAGG
rnacentral:rRNA from 1 species